rnacentral:rRNA from 1 species
CCUACGGGAGGCAGCAGUGGGGGAUAUUGCACAAUGGGGGAAACCCUGAUGCAGCGACGCCGCGUGUGGGAAGACGGUCCUCUGGAUUGUAAACCACUGUCCCCAGGGACGAAGAUGACGGUACCUGGGGAGGAAGCUCUGGCUAACUACGUGCCAGCAGCCGCGGUAAUACGGAGGAUGCGAGCGUUAUCCGGAUUUAUUGGGUUUAAAGGGUGCGUAGGCGGGUUAUCAAGUCAGCGGUAAAAUCGUGGAGCUCAACUCCAUCCAGCCGUUGAAACUGAUGAUCUUGAGUGGGCGAGAAGUAUGCGGAAUGCGUGGUGUAGCGGUGAAAUGCAUAGAUAUCACGCAGAACUCCGAUUGCGAAGGCAGCAUACCGGCGCCCGACUGACGCUGAAGCACGAAAGCGUGGGUAUCGAACAGGAUUAGAUACCCUUGUAGUC